AGGGGCAUCUGCUAUAGAGUGGGUAUUGGAAUGGGCACUGGAGAUCCAUUAGUGAAUAAGAUCAUUACUUUGCCUGAAAGAACUUACAUUCUAGUAGGUACCAAUAUAUAAUGAGCAAAUAGACUGGUUACCAAUGGUGAUUUGUGUCAUAAAAGAAUCAGUCACAGGGCUGAGACUGAAGGUGUAGAACGGACCACCUACUCUACGCAGGACAGUCAUAAAGGGCCAGACAUGUAAGCUGAGGCUGUUGGUAGAGCUUGGAGAAGAGCAACCCAAGGUGAAGACACAAAGUGUGUACAAUUCUGGGCAUACCUCAACAACUGAAAGACUAGAUAAAGCAGUGAAAAGUCCAUGUAUGAGUCUUUCUUCUGAUGCCAGAGCCAUUGAGGAGAUAGUGCUGUAUAUGGUGCAUCUAUAACAAGCUGCACAUUGGAGUUGACAAGAGUUGAAGCUGACAAGAGUUGAAGUUGAAGUUGGAGUUGAAGAUGACAAGAGAAUGUAAGAGCUCAAUACUCCCUAUCAGAAACCAC
rnacentral:lncRNA from 1 species